GAUGAAGAACGCAGUGAAAUGCGAUAAGUAGUGUGAAUUGCAGAAUUCAGUGAAUCAUCGAAUCUUUGAACGCACAUUGCGCCCGCCAGUAUUCUGGCGGGCAUGCCUGUCCGAGCGUCAUUUCAACCAUCAAGCCCCCGGGCUUGUGUUGGGGACCUGCGGCUGCCCGCAGGCCCUGAAAACCAGUGGCGGGCUCGCUGUCACACCGAGCGUAGUAGCAAUCACCUCGCUCAGGGCGUGCUGCGGGUUCCGGCCGUUAAACAGCCUUACAAAACCCAAGGUUGACCUCGGAUCAGGUAGGAAGACCCGCUGAACUUAAGCAUAUCAAUAAGCGGAGGA
rnacentral:misc_RNA from 1 species